AUUGAACGCUGGCGGCAGGCCUAACACAUGCAAGUCGAACGGUAACAGGAAGAAGCUUGCUUCUUUGCUGACGAGUGGCGGACGGGUGAGUAAUGUCUGGGAAACUGCCUGAUGGAGGGGGAUAACUACUGGAAACGGUAGCUAAUACCGCAUAACGUCGCAAGACCAAGGAGGGGGACCUUCGGGCCUCUUGCCAUCGGAUGUGCCCAGAUGGGAUUAGCUAGUAGGUGGGGUAACGGCUCACCUAGGCGACGAUCCCUAGCUGGUCUGAGAGGAUGACCAGCCACACUGGAACUGAGACACGGUCCAGACUCCUACGGGAGGCAGCAGUGGGGAAUAUUGCACAAUGGGCGCAAGCCUGAUGCAGCCAUGCCGCGUGUAUGAAGAAGGCCUUCGGGUUGUAAAGUACUUUCAGAGGGGAGGAAGGGAGUAAAGUUAAUACCUUUGCUCAUUGACGUUACCCGCAGAAGAAGCACCGGCUAACUCCGUG
rnacentral:rRNA from 1 species